rnacentral:sRNA from 1 species
CUCACCAACCCAGGUCAUAUCUAAGCCUGAGAGCAAGGAAGAACAUGCAAUAUACACAGCAGACCUAGCCACGGGCACAAGAGCAGCCUCCACUGGGAAGUCUAAGAGUCCAUGCCAGACCCUGGGGGGAAGGGCUCUGAAGGAGAACCCAGUUGACUUGCCUGCCACAGAGCAAAAGGAGUGAGUGGAACAGAGUUGCUUCUUAGUAGGAGCACAUUCUUUGUCUGCCUUCCCUUCAUCCUAUCCUCUUUGCUUGCUCUCACCUCAGGAAUUGCUUGGAUUGCUACAUGGACCCCCUGAGACUGUCAUUAUUACUUCCUAGGGCCAGGAAGCCAGUGUGUCCUCCAUCUCUGUGCAGCUCCGUCAUUACCAUAGGGGACUUGGUUUUAGACUCUGAUGAGGAAGAAAAUGGCCAGGGGGAAGGAAAGGAAUCUCUGGAAAACUAUCAGAAGACAAAGUUUGACACCUUGAUCCCCACUCUCUGUGAAUACCUACCCCCUUCUGGCCACGGUGCCAUGCCUGUUUCUUCUUGUGACUGUAGAGACAGCUCUAGACCUUUGUGAUA